rnacentral:lncRNA from 1 species
GGACAAAGAGCAUAUAGUAUAAAAGUAUUGUGUUGGUUAAAUUGGUGGGUUAUGAAUAGGAAGAUGUGGUACUUAGUUUUGUUGGUUAUAGUAAUCUUUAACCCUACAAAACAUGGUGAAUCCAGUACUGAAGCGUUCUGCCAAUGGCGUUGUGGGGUUCCACCUUCCGGCCCAUCGAAGCAGCAUCGUGACAUCGAUGUUGGAGGGUUUCAUAUCCCUUCCCAUCUUCCCAGGCCGCCACCAACAGACUGACCUCAAAAGGACGGACAGCUGGUCACCGAGCUGCGUUUCUGUUUGAGCUGCUCAACUGUGUUUUUGUUUGGGCUAAUCGAGUUGAUUUUUCAGUCCGAUGGGUUUUAUGCUAUUUUCGUUUUAAUGAUUCCUGUUCUAUAUAUAUUCCUUUUUCAUUAUGUACUCAAUUACUUCAAGAUCCAAAAAUAAUAUUUUUUACACUCCUUAAAAGAGAGAAAGAGAGAAAAACAGAGUAAAUGCGCAAUGAAUGUUAUUAAC